UCCGUAGGUGAACCUGCGGAAGGAUCAUUAAAUAAUCAAUAAUCUUGGCUUGUCCAUUAUUAUCUAUUUACUGUGAACUGUAUUAUUAUUUGACGUUUGAGGGAUGUUCCAAUGUUAUAAGGAUAGACAUUGGAGAUGUUAACCGAGUCAUAAUCAGGUUUAGGCCUGGUAUCCUAUUAUUAUUUACCAAAUGAAUUCAGAAUUAAUAUUGUAACAUAGACCUAAAAAAUCUAUAAAACAACUUUUAACAACGGAUCUCUUGGUUCUCGCAUCGAUGAAGAACGCAGCAA
rnacentral:rRNA from 1 species